rnacentral:lncRNA from 1 species
AUGAUGUCAGGCAACAUCUGCUAUCUCCUGGAUGUUACUGAAUGUGACCAGUUGGGCUGUGGAGCUGUGUCAAUCCUCUCUCUGGGAAGUAGCUGCAAGAGCCUCAUUUCUUUUCUAUCUCCUUUGUGGCCGGGAGGUACGAUCAAGACACACACACACACACACACACACACACACACACACACGACAUAAAGGAAGACCAAUUCGAUAAGAAAAGCAAAGGCCACACUGAUUCAGAGCUUGCUACAGCACAGAGGGUAGCCACCACGGCUUAUGACUGGCUGACAUUCAAAGGUCUACAGUGGAGAGAAGAACUUGGUGUGUGUGGGGUGAGUAGCCUCAUUAUGUCCUGAUUGGAGGCUGUUGUCCUGGGGAAGCUGAGGGAGCUCACUAGAACAGGGUAGUGAAUAUGAUUGAUUAGAGGAGCUGUUUGACUUUCACUGGUUGGUCCUAAAUUGGAAGUGGGGACAGAAAUUAGGGAAGCUUUCAGUUAUUGCUGUGGUCCUGGCCAUUUCUGGCCAAUUAUUGCCAAAGUUUUCAGCCCCUUGGAUUACUGCAAGUCUGCCUUACAGCAGGCUGGUCUCCUGGGGUGGUCGUGGUUUCCUGUGUAGAUUGCUACAGGCUGAGAGUUGAGGUCUAUUUUUAUAUACUGCCUGACCAUUUUCCGUGUCAUACUCAGUCUCUCAUGUUUUACCUUAAGAAGUAAUGUUUAAAACUGUCAUUUGAUCAUUUUUCCUGUCUUUUCUUGAGGUGUGACAAGUUCUAACGGAUGUCAAACACUGCUGCUUCCUAACAGUGAGGGUCAAGAAAGACAGAACGUCGGGUGUUUCCUAGGAGCCCCUCUGACGCCAAGCAGUUCCACCAUGGCACUUGGUGACUACGGAAGCGAUGGAGGGAGGCAGGUGGCAGUGCAGUCAGCCUUUCCUUCUGAAAUGACUCGAUUCCCUGGAAAGCACACCUCUGUCAUUACACAUUUAUGAGUUAAUGCUCAGCCCUGCUGCUUUGUCAGCAAAAAGGCUGUGACUGCCUCCUUUUGCUUGGGGCAGUUUAUCCAAGGCUAAGGGUGAAGGACUCUCUCUUCACACUUCCUUGGAAAGCUUUUUAGGAUGAAACCAGGGACAUCUGGCUCAUUCCUGGGUUUCUAAGGUGACAUACAAACAUAUUUCUGAGUAAGUGUUGCUUCCUUAAUCAUCCUGGAUACUGUAAUCAUUUUAGGCUGGCACUGUGCUCCAGUAAAGCUAUUAUAAUUCUUACACACAUAAAACUAUAGAGCAUUGACUAAUUCAUGGAGGCCCUUCCUGCACUCAAUGUGUACACACAUUCAAGGCCAUUUUAUUAGUCGUGGAUCACACUUCCUCUCUUUUAAGUGGAUCAUGGUUUAUAGAUUUUUACCUCCGUGUUAAAAUAUUUGUCGUAACUAUUCCCGCCUGGACUUGCCUCAGACUCUGAGAAUGUAUGAAUCUUGCAAAUCAUCCUUAAUGUGUGGUGGCUCAGUGGAUCUCCUUGGUUAAGCAUAGCUCACUUACCUAACUGAUGAUCUCGGGAGUUUGUGGACACUGCCUGCU